rnacentral:rRNA from 1 species
UUGAACAGGUGCUGCAUGGCUGUCGUCAGCUCGUGUCGUGAGAUGUUCGGGUUAAGUCCGCUAACGAGCGCAACCCUCGCUGUGUGUUACAAGUGCCACACGGAACUGCCGGUCAUAAACCGGAGGAAGGUGGGGAUGACGUCAAGUCAGCAUGGCCUUUAUAUCCUGGGCUACACACACGCUACAAUGGGAAGGGACAAUAGGUUGCGAAGCCGCGAGGCGGAGCCAAUCCAGCAAAACUUCCCUCAGUUCAGAUUGCAGGCUGCAACUCGCCUGCAUGAAGUUGGAGUUGCUAGUAAACGCAGGUCAGCCAUACUGCGUUGAAUACGUUCCCGGGGCUU